AGCCGACACAUCUCUACUCCUAAUGAAGCAGUUGGUAGCCUGAUACUCCGAUUUUAUUUUCAUUUGAUUUUUUGUCGUCCCACCUCGCACCACCCCCACUCAACUCCUGGUUUUUCUCCAUCCACCGAUUUGUUUCCAAACCGAAACCCCUCCAUCGAUUUUUCCCCGAACAGAAACCCCCUCUCGUCCUGUCAUCUCUCGGUCUCCAAAAAACUCACCCUCGGACGGCUAGGGUUCCAUCCGCCUUUGCCUCACCUGCAACUGCAACAACCCAAUCUCCUCGCCCCACGUGAUUCCCGGGGUGCCGUUCUUACGGCGGCGGACGGAGACUCCGAUGCGGAGGCGCGCAAGGGGGAAGCGGACGAGCGAAGGCCAUGGCUGGGGAGAAAGUCGUGCGCCGCCAUAGGGACAGGAGCAUUAGCGCCGGAUCCAGUUUUACCAUUGUUCCCAUAUGGCCGCAAGCAACCAAGACAACGGAAGCUAGCUAGCUCAGUGUGGCGCCGCUGAGGACAACGCCCAGCUGCUACGAGGUGAUCCGCACAUAGGCGUCACGGACGGAACAGCAGGAGCAGCACUGACAGCUAUUGCCCUACUGCAGUGAUGCGGGCCAGAGCGAGCUGGGAUGCAUGUGGCGACGAGAGGAUGUAUAUGUCUACUCCUUCGUCUUCAACAUGUCGAUUACAUGUGAUUUUUUUUCUUUUCCCUUUUUACUUUUUAUUACACAUAUGGAUAAAGAUUUUAGGUUGUGGCCUCGCUUUUCAUUUAAUGCUCAGGUGUGUCCUCUUGCAAUGCAAUAUUAUACAUAUUGGCAGCUUCUAUUUUUGAUGUGUGCUUUACUCUUCAUUACCAUCCGGUAGGAGUAGAGAUGUACCACAAAAUGUGUUCAUCCAGUAGCUGAUGGUCUGGUCAUUCUUCCCCAAGGUGUGGAUCUAUUUGGACUUUUUGCAGCUAUGCUUGUGCUUGGUUUUACUGAUUAUGAGACAUCUCCGUAUGAUUUUGGUUAUCCGGUCAUGUUUUCCUGCUGUAUAAGCUUUGUCAGUUCUUGACAUCUUCGUCGUUUUAGCCAAUUCGGUGUUCUGUAUGUUAACUUAUCCAUAUCCUCAUCCUAAGUUCAUAUGACAAGUGCCUGACAGAAUUGUGCCUAGGAAGCGGACCCUAAAAUUCUACAAGAGUCGAGCACUGCUACUACAUGCCCUUUUAAAGAAACAUGUUGUUGAACUAACAAAAUUUGUCUAUUGGGUUUCCAAUAGGUUAGAGACCGAUCUUUAAAAUCUAAGGAGGAGAGUCAAUUAUCAUGCAUUAUAGAUCCAAUUCUCAAAAUGGAUUGAUUGCUUGUCCAAAGAAUGAGAGCCAACGGUGGACGCUUCAUUUCUCUUCACCUAAGGUAUUAAUUAUUUCAAUGAAAUUAUAUGGUUGCUAUGCAGUACAAGUGAAUUUUCUUCACACACAUAAGCCAUGCCAUAUUUUAGCCUGACAUGCUCACCUUGUUGGGAUGCUACUUUGGGGGUGGCAAAUCGAGUUAAUGAACUAGGUGAAAUAUGUAAGAGCUGAAAAACACUGUUGUAAGAGAUCAAUACUCAUUCGCGGUCAUUAGAAGUAUGGUCAUCUCAGGUCUUUAAAGUUUCACCGUUACAGUGAAACUUGUGAGCAGGAAAGCAACACUGAUAGAGAACACCGGCAUUGCAAAUACCCUCGUAACAAUUGAAGGAGUAGGCUUCAUGAUCAGGGCAUUGGGGUUUGGGAAGGACACCCAUAUCUUGCAUCGGGGGAUGUAUAUGGAGCAUCAGAGACAUAAGCACCUGGGAUAGACAUUAGCUCCGAGGCCAUCUUUCGUCCUAAGACAUUAGUCAUACAUAAGUUACAUUCAGAUAAAUAUUUUACUUUUCCUAGGGACAGAACUACGAAACCUUUAGUCAUGUGAUCAAAGUAGAUAUCGCCUUAAUAUUAAAGUCAAUAAGAAAUCAAAUAUUACUAUUCAUACAUUUUGUUAUGAUGUCACAAUGAGGACCAUAUCACUGUUGCUGGAUCAAGGUUGUCGGUCGGCCCGGCUGAUGAGGGGCACCGAAUGAAGAUGAGAGAGACAUCGACAAUGGAGGUGUGUGUCCAAUCAUUCUCUCAUAUCUGUAGACAUGGAAGGCCUCACUGGGAAAGCUGCUUGAGGGGGCAUGCUACCAGGGGGUUUGCGCUCAAAUUGGUUGGAUGUGGUUUGUCGUUAAUUGGUCGUGGGGAAAAGUUGUGUGCGAGGUGUCCACUGAAGGAACUUUGUUUGGGCACGUGGUCGUGAUUGUCGAUUCACAGUACUUAUGUGCUACAAUUAAAUUUGUUCAUCGUAAGUAACCUCUAAUAGUCCAAUAAUUCUUAUCUUUAGAUCUUUCUGAGCCAUGUACGGACAUUACCGUGAAUAUGAUCAAUGUAGCAUGUAUAGCAAUAAAAUUGGAGAAG